UACGUAGGCAGCAAGCGUUGUUCGGAGUUACUGGGCGUAAAGGGUGUGUAGGCGGUCCCCUAAGUUUGGUGUGAAAUCUCCCGGCUCAACUGGGAGGGUGCGCCGAAAACUGGGGGGCUAGAGUACUGGAUGGGAGAGUGGAAUUCCUGGUGUAGCGGUGAAAUGCGUAGAUAUCAGGAGGAACACCGAUUGCGAAGGCAGCUCGCUGGGACGUUACUGACGCUGGGACGCGAAAGCGUGGGGAGCGAACAGG
rnacentral:rRNA from 1 species